rnacentral:rRNA from 1 species
GUAGUCAUAUGCUUGUCUCAAAGAUUAAGCCAUGCAUGUCUGAGUACAAACUUUUACACAGUGAAACUGCGAAUGGCUCAUUAGAUCAGUUAUGGUUCCUUAGAUCGUACAAUCCUACUUGGAUAACUGUGGUAAUUCUAGAGCUAAUACAUGAAAGCACGCUCCGACUCCUCCGAGGAAGAGCGUUUUUAUUAGAACAAAACCAAUCGGUGCUCGCAUUCGCGGCGCCGUCCCAUUGGUGACUCUGAAUAACUUUGUGCUGAUCGCAUGGCCUCGAGCCGGCGACGUAUCUUUCAAAUGUCUGCCCUAUCAAGUUUCGAUGUUAGUUGACAUGACUAUCAUGCUGACAACGGGUAACGGGGAAUG